UACGUAGGGUGCAAGCGUUGUCCGGAAUUAUUGGGCGUAAAGAGCUCGUAGGCGGUCUGUCGCGUCGGCUGUGAAAACACGGGGCUCAACUCCGUGCCUGCAGUCGAUACGGGCAGACUAGAGUUCGGUAGGGGAGACUGGAACUCCUGGUGUAGCGGUGAAAUGCGCAGAUAUCAGGAGGAACACCGGUGGCGAAGGCGGCCAUCUGGCCAAAUACUGACGCUGAGAUACGAAAGUGUGGGGAUCAAACAGG
rnacentral:rRNA from 1 species